CUGGCUGGCAAAUCCUGAGCUUCACUCCAGGUGGUCACAAUCUGACCCUUGUGACCUCAUGCUUCCCCACCCCCAUUUGUGAAGUUCCAUCACAGGAAGUUCUUCUCCAGUGGCCCCUGAUCCAGGGAGACCCACCCUGCAACAGCCCUUGUCUCCCUCCGCCCUUGGUUCCUUCUCACCCAUCUCACCACCAUCUGCCCAGGGGAGCCACAUGUCCCAAAUUUUGGAGAGAAAAUAAUUGAGGCUCAUUUCCAGGACAGAGGGGCAAGCUGGGUCUAAAGAGCCAAGCAGAAAGGCUUCCCAAAAUCGCUAGGUUGGGAGGGGUCAGAGACGUGUGGCUGCCCCAGCUGUUCUGACUCUGCCCCAGCUUUUGGCUCCACCCCCUUAAAGCACCUUCAGAGGUUCCCAUGGCGACAGUAAACAAGUCUCCACUGCCUUGGCCAUGUGCUGUGUUCACCCCACUCCUGAUCUUGUUGGCUGCUCAGGGGCUGACAGCCCAGAUGUGCAGCUGUGAUGAGCAGAAACAGGGAGGAAUGGAGCCCCCAGCCAUUGUCAUCACUUCCUCAAGCUGUCUAAAUUCUGCCCAGCAGUCUGUGAAAAUGUUGUGCUGAUGACAUAUUAAGUCAUGUAUCCGUUAAAAGAAUAUCUGGAAACCUCCAAAAGGAAGCCAAGCAUAGACUAUUUGGAAGAACUUGAAGGAGCGAGAGCUGACCCCAUCUUUGUACACUGGCAGCACAAGGACAACAAUCAACACGGAAGACUUCUGUGACCAAAUGUGUGCACGUUUCUCUCCAUACACCAAGCAAGCAAUCUAUUCUGCAGCAGACACCAACUGGAAGUCCUCCAAUUCAAUUCAAUUCUGACACUGUCUACCUGGAAAUGGCCUCAGCAACCACAGGUUGAGAGCUCAGUCCCACAAGAACACCUCCUCCUUCCAACCAGUUGAAACUCCACACCUCCAGAACUUCUCACUGACUGGCUUCGAGUUGAGGUUUCCACAGUCCUCUGUUUGAGUUUGAUUAAUUUGCUAGAGAAGUUCACAGAACACAAGGAAACACUUACUUAUGUUGAUCAAUUUAUCACAAAGGAUGUUUUAAAGGAUCCAAAUGGGGGCCAGGCACAGUGGCUCAUGCCUGUAAUCCCAGCACUUUGGGAGGCUGAGGCAGGCGGAUCAUGAGGUCA
rnacentral:lncRNA from 1 species